AAGAAAGUCAUCUUCGUCCCCUCCAUCAUCUCACACCGCUCUCCAUGGAAGAAAGCAAGUUUUAUUUUAUUUGCAAUUCAGUCCUUUCCUUGAAAUUAAGAAAGAAAUCAUUGAAAUUCCAUUAAAUUUCUAGUUAAAUCUAGCUUUCAACAAACUGGUGAACUUAGAUUUCAAGAAAGGAGAUUGUAUAUUAUGUUGGAGGAGAGAGAAAAUCAAGCUAAGAUUUUUAAGUUUUCAAGGUGAAAGAUUGGAUUGAAGUUCUCAUUCAAAGCAGCAACCUCAACACAUCUUUAUCACAUUAUCAAGGCUUAGGAUGACAUGUACAUAGAUGAAUUAAUGAAGUAAGAAAGAAAGUGUCUAGUUGUUCUAAUAUUUGAGUUUGAUGUGUUGUGAACAAUAAAUAUAAGGUGUUAGAUAGUAUAAAGCUUUGAUUAUUUUUUGGAA